GAGGUUGUGGCUCAGUGGUAGAGCAGUCGCCUGGCAUGAGUGAGGCACUGGGUUCGAUCCUCAGCACCACA
rnacentral:tRNA from 1 species